GACGAACGCUGGCGGCGUGCUUAACACAUGCAAGUCGAACGGAAAGGCCCUGCUUUUGUGGGGUGCUCGAGUGGCGAACGGGUGAGUAACACGUGAGUAACCUGCCCUUGACUUUGGGAUAACUUCAGGAAACUGGGGCUAAUACCGGAUAGGAGCUCCUGCUGCAUGGUGGGGGUUGGAAAGUUUCGGCGGUUGGGGAUGGACUCGCGGCUUAUCAGCUUGUUGGUGGGGUAGUGGCUUACCAAGGCUUUGACGGCUAGCCGGCCUGAGAGGGUGACCGGCCACAUUGGGACUGAGAUACGGCCCAGACUCCUACGGGAGGCAGCAGUGGGGAAUAUUGCACAAUGGGCGGAAGCCUGAUGCAGCAACGCCGCGUGCGGGAUGACGGCCUUCGGGUUGUAAACCGCUUUCGCCUGUGACGAAGCGUGAGUGACGGUAAUGGGUAAAGAAGCACCGGCUAACUACGUG
rnacentral:rRNA from 1 species